rnacentral:rRNA from 1 species
UACGUAGGGUGCGAGCGUUGUUCGGAAUUACUGGGCGUAAAGAGCUUGUAGGUGGCUCUGCAAGUCAGAUGUGAAAGCCUGGGGCUCAACCCCAGAAGUGCAUCUGAAACUGCAGAGCUUGAGUAUGGGAGAGGGUGACGGAAUUCCUGGUGUAGCGGUGAAAUGCGUAGAUAUCAGGAGGAACAUCGGUGGCGAAGGCGGUUGCCUGGCCCAAUACUGACACUGAGAAGCGAAAGCGUGGGGAUCAAACAGG